CUUGUGGCCCGUCGACUCGAUCUAUAUACGCCGUUCGCUCGCCCACCUCGCCCCGUCUCCCGCAGCCUCGCUCGCCUUUCCCCACCUCUCCCUCGUCGCCGCGGCGCCCGCCAGCUAGGGUUUCGCCUCCCCGCCCCCGAUCCGCCAUGUCGAAGCAAGGAGGGAAGGCCAAGCCGUUGAAGGCGCCAAAGGUCGACAAGAAGGACUACGACGAGACUGAUCUUGCGUAUCUGCAGAAGAAGAAAGAGGAGGAAAAGGCACUGAAGGAUCUGAAGGCCAAGGCACAGAAGGGUGCAAUUGGAGGCUCUGGCUUGAAGAAAAGUGGGAAGAAAUGAGUCUGUUUUGCAUGUGUGUGAUACUUGGGAAAUGAUAAACCUCCUGCCAAUGUGGGCUGUGUUUCGCCAUAUGUGAUUGUAACAAAACUAGUGGUUCUGUGUUGUAAUGCUGCAGUUGGUUGCUUGAUCCAAAAACAUGAUGGCUAUGAUGCAGAUGGUUCGAUGAUAAUAACAUGGCAUUCUAAGAUGUUAUCUCAAA